UUCUUGCAUAUCCAUAAGAAGUAAUUCCUGCCCAGUGACUAACGUUCAACGGCCGCGGUAUCCUAACCGUGCAAAGGUAGCAUAAUCACUUGCCCAUUAAUUGUGGGCUAGAAUGAAUGGACUAACGAAAUAAAAACUGUCUCUAUAAGCCCAAUAAAAAUUAAUCUCUAACUGAAGAUUGUUAGAUAUCGUUGAAGGACAAGAAGACCCUAUAGAGCUUCAUUUUAAUAAAAACUAAUAUUUUAAUAAAAUUCGGUUGGGGCGACCGGGGAAGACCAAUCAUCCCCUACAAAAAGAUUAAUUAAUCUUCUCUAUGACCCUUAAUUAAGAUCACCAGAAUAAGCUACCUUAGGGAUAACAGGCUAAUCCCACUAAAGAGUCCUUAUCAAUAGUGGGGGUUGGCACCUCGAUGUUGGCUUAGGGAAUCUAUACGGCGCAAAAGUCAUAUAAAGAUGGUUUGUUCAACCAAUAACACCCUACAUGAGCUGAGUUCAGACCGGCGUAAGCCAGGUUAGUUUCUAUCCUCAACAAAUACACCUAUUUAUAGUACGAAAGGACCUAAAUAAGGAUAAUAAUUAUACUUCUAGAAUAAAUAUAACUUCUAUUAAAUAAAUAAUUACAUUCACUA
rnacentral:rRNA from 1 species